CUUAGCUCGGUCACAUGGCUGGGAUCAAGUUCGGACACAUCCUUGUUAGCUUCACGGUCUUCUGCCACAUACUCCUGAUAAUAGGGGAAAAAUAAGAAAUCGCUAUAGAAAUGGAAUCAACUGGAGGAAGAUGCAAAUGGAAUCAAUCUGAAAUAGGAUUUACUCAAAGCAACAAAAUGGAGUAAGAUGCAAAUGGAAUCAAUCUGAAAUAGGAUGCAACUUGCAUAAACAUUUGAAACAACGUUCUCUGCUUCAGCCUUCUCGUUAGUAGUAGUCCUCGUUUCCGACCAAAAAAAAAUGUAGUCCUCGUAGCUAAGUUUUUUGCUGCAUUCUCGAUUAAAACACGGUGCAUCGACUCCCAUCAACUUGAUCCGACCAAAAACUGUGCUGUUAGGAAAAAAAUUAUAAAAGAUUACAGAACUAUAUUCACAAAAUAUCAAACCAAUUAAUUCUUACUUUAUGAUCAACAACUCCAAAUUUUGGAUUGGUAAGGAAACUAAUCUCAGAAACAACAAAUACAGAAAGCUAUGGAGCUCAUGAUCAGAGAACUCGCCCAGUAAUAAAAGACAUAAUUGAAAAUUAAAAGACAAAUAAUGCCAUAAAGCAUACUUCUUCUCUAAAGCAUGCUAAUGGAAAUUAAGUUAUUUACCUGAUCAGAUGAGAGGCUCAUAUUGCUCAAUAAUUCUUUCAGAAGACCAUGGGCAUUCUUGCAGCAAGACCAUGCUCAAUAAUUCCUUCAUUCCUGCAGCAAAACUGACUACUUAUUCAAGUAAGGAUGAAAAAAGAGAAGCCACCACAGUGCUAACAUGUACAUGAGCUAUUUUGAACUAAGCUUAUAAGAGAAAGAAGGUAAAAUAUAUGAUAUCAACUUACAGAUUAAUGAACACCCGGCCAAGUGUACGGGCUAGUAAUCAUCUAGAUUCCAAUUUGCUAAAGCUACCAAAUGGGUACAAAUCCACCUCAGCUUGAUUGUUAACACCACGGCCAUGCAUAUCCUGAAACUCCGUUCAUCAAGUUAACACCACGAAUUUCCAACAUUGUUACUUUAUUUUCUAACAUAUACAAGGUUGAUAAGUAGAUGAGAUUGUUUGCCUAACUUUAUGGGUAUAUUUAUUUGUAAACUAACAAUAAUGACCACAUAAUUAAUAGAAAUUAAUUGUAAUUAAAAGUAGAAAGAUAAAGGAGUAACUAACUUAUAUUGAACUUAGAAGUAGUGCAGUUGAUAAGGUUGAAAUUGCCGACAGCAACACUUUAUUGAAGUCUGCAUAAAACAGAGCAUGGAACCAUUAAUUAUACAAUACCUGAGCAAGAUGCUAAAAAAAUCGAACACCUUUAACAGCGAUGAAGAAGAAAGAAGAAAAAGGAAAUGAUGUACCUGGGCUAAAAUUAUUAGUGGCUAGAUUGAGCUGUUCGAAUGUAAACUUCCUCCAAGAAGGCUUGGGCAUGACGAUAUCCUAACAAGAAAUNAUGAGUACCCAUUUCCUUUUUUGGUAAGUGUACCCCACACAUCCCACUCACAAUAAAAGUGGAUCCCUUAUUCCACUUACACACACUUAAUCAAUUUCUUAAAACCCGUGCCACCCCCAAAUGGGUACUCAUUUCGUGGACGGAGGGAGUAUCUUUUAUUUUUGCUGCAGAUGCGUAAAUAAGCAUUUGUUUUCCUACGGUUUUUAUUCACCCUAGUAAUUUGUCUGUUUUUUUGUGUUGAAAAAAGAUUCAACUGAUCCGAUAGAGGCUGUUAGAAGUACAUUUAACGUGCACGACGAAGGAUGAUUGUUAUCUUAUUUUAUAACUUUAACUAAAUUAUGUUUAAUUAUCAUGGUCUUUAGAAUCUGAAUCUCCACAAAAAAAGGGUGGCCAAAAAAGCAAGAUUGGAGACAUCUAAGCGACUCACGGAUAAACGAGGUAUUUAAAUAUUAGAGUUAAUUAUGUUGUGUCUUUGCAUAAUUGUUAACCAAAAAACUGAUUUCACAUCAUAAUCAGAUGGAAAUGUUGGCUCACAGAACGAACCUCCGAUGGAUGGAACAGGUAGGUGACAUUCAUAUAUCCUUUGGGGUUCUAUCGAUGAUUAUAUGCAUCAAGAGUUCAUAAUAAAGCUCAACUUGUCUGCACUAAAAACGCCCAUUUCACAUUUUUUAGGAAAUAUUACUAAACACUAAAAGUACCCAAAAUUGAUGCAAGAACUCAGUAGGAAUAAGCAAAUAUGACAGUGAUGUGAGUUCCAUAUAAGUUGGCAAUUUUUAUUAAACUGGUCUAAUGUUAUCACAUCACUCGUAUUAUCUUUCAAAUACACAAUCAUAUACUAUAUUCUUAAUACUAAAAGUAAAAUAGCCCUCGAGAUAAACAUAUUACAUACUACUACUACCCUACACACAAUUUGGUCGAGGGAGACGAACCUGGAGUGUUAGAGCACUUGUAUGCUUAGUCACCAGGAAAUUGCACAAGUUCGCUUCAUAAUCCACUGUUGAAUUAACGAAAAGAAGAAUCCACAUGAAUUUAUGUUCCUUUCCAAGUGCGACAACUAAGUUAAAUAUAUCAGGUUCCAUUACAAACACAGCCAAACUACAACAGCAAUCGGUGCCAUAUAAAGCAUCAAAUUCAUGGAGUUAAGCUUUUCCCUGCAAUGACGAGUGAGCUUAUUAAAAGCUGGUAGUCAGCUAUGCUUUGAGAAAGAGAAGAUGAACUCAAACAUAGAGCAACAAUUAUCAAAGUAAGGAUACAACAAAUAUUAUUUCUAUUAAGACAAUCAACUAGACUAUAUAUUGCUUCAACCGGUAUAGACUUUACUGCCAAAAGAUUUUUUUUAGGUAGAAGUCAUACAAGAAAAGCAAAAACAAUAGUCAAGAAAAUAUUUAGCAGAUAUUAUGAUUAGUUACUUAUCCUUCACUGGAAAGAAGAGCCCCACUUGAAGGCUCUCGCUGCAGUUGCACUUAUACACAUAAUAAAUCCAUAUAGAUGGAAGCUGGGCUCACCCUAAAGAGACGAGAAACUGAUGCGAUUUCAAAAACCAGAAAUCAAGUUUGAGUAAGAAGCAAUUGCUAGUAGAGAUGCCAUCAACCAAAGAUAGUGCUUUAGACUAAAUUCAAACCACGACGAGCUUACAACAUAGAGCUUAUGUGAAACUAAUGGGAGUAGAGAAGCAAUUGUUAGGCUGCUUCUAUUUUCUGGAUGACCGCAAGACAAAAUCAGAUGCAGCAUAAGUGGUCUAUUAUAUAACGCAGAGAUGUAAGAUCAAUAAGUAUACACCAAAGGAAAUUGAUACCUUAAGUGAGAAACGUCUUGCAAUCACUCUCCUUAACUGAUGCAGCCCAAGGUUCGUUGGUGCAAGACCCGGUGCAUGUUCCUGUUGGUCCAGUUACAAGAGCUCGAGCCAAGAAGUUCAAGGAGAGCUUGAUGAUCUUAGUUGAAGAAGUUUGGAAGCAAGAGUUGAUCAAGAAACCAAUUGGAGAUGGUGGAGUCGGCUCCAAGCUUAAUUAAUAUCAUUACAUGCGAGUGGGCCGAAGCGUGAAGACUUGUGAUGUUUUGAAGACUUCUUUUUUUUUUUAUUUUUGUUUUUUUCGCAGCCCAUAGUUUUAGGGCCUUGUUAAUUUUCGGAUUUUUUAGUAAGGGCCUUGUUUGGCCUAUUAGGGCUUGUUUUUAAGUUGUUUCCUUAUUAGACUAGGUUUAGUUUUGCCUAUAUAUAUGGCUGCAACAUGUUGGACGAAAAUUACAUACUUUUAUCAAUAAACUUGUGAGUUUUAUUUCUCUCUUGAGAUUUCCGAAUUCCUCUUGAUUAUUCCAAGACGAAUUCAAUUAUCGACGUAACGGCGAGUCUACCAUCUCUCGUCGGGUGUCAUUCAGCGUCCCCGAGUUGCUGCGUCAACUGCACGUUGGGGUUUAGGGAUCCGUUCGCCUAAAUCAUUCCGUGGGUUAGAUUCAGAGGUUUUGGGAUUUCCAUCCUUUCCGUUCAAGUUCAGUCUUCCGCGUGCGUUGUGUUCGAUCGAUCGGCAAGGAUCAUAUCAUUAACUGCACGCCUUCUCUGCAAAUGAAAAUCAAAUGAACCUUCCACUUGAGUGGUGUUAUAAAAUCAAUUGAAUACUUAUCUGUAUUGGGUGAUUCAAGUUAUUAGUUUGGUACUGAAUUUUAACAGAAAACACUAACCAACUAUACAUACUGAAUUGAUAAAUAACAGACUUGGCAUUUGUAACACCUUGAGCAAGCAUUCAGUAAAAAGAUGUUAGCUCAAGGUGUUACCCCACUCUAUUGAGGUUAGUACAAAUGCUUGCUCACCAUUUGUACUGAAUGCUUGCUCAAGGUGUUACAAAUGCUGGGUCAUAUAAUAGAGGCCUAGCAUCUUAGCUCGGUCACAUGGCUGGGAUCAUGUUCGGACACAUCCUUGUUAGCUUCACGGUCUUCUGCCACAUACUCCUGAUAAUAGGGGAAAAAUAAGAAAUCGCUAUAGAAAUGGAAUCAACUGGAGGAAGAUGCAAAUGGAAUCAAUCUGAAAUAGGAUUUACUCAAAGCAACAAAAUGGAGUAAGAUGCAAAUGGAAUCAAUCUGCAAUAGGAAAACAGAGCUCACUUUAAACAGAAUCUAAAAAGCACAAAAAUGUGAGUCGGAUUUCUAGUAGACAACUACUACCAUGUUGUAUCUGUUCCUCUGCAGAGUGAAAGAAAGUAUGACCAGAACAUUAAAUAGAAAUGAAAUCGCACAGACUGGAGACUCAUUUUAAUAAGCCUAAUUAUUAAAAUUCUGGCAAGGCUUAAUCCAAUUCAAUUAUAUCAUCAAAAUUGCACAACGAAGAAAAAUUAGCAGCGAAUUUACUAGAAUUCAACAAAUAAUCAUAUCCAAUAACUUGAAAAUUAUCAAUAGCAAGGAUGUGGUUGUCCUUGGGUAGAAGGGGAAGAGCUACAAUUGAUAACCUCUGAUGAUAGCAAUGGAGCGAGAAGCAAAACUAAACUUAGAAACACUAAAUCUCUUCUAAACAGAUAGCAAAUCUAAAAUAAAACAAAAUAAACUCAGUGCAAAAUCCAUGAAUUAGAGGCAACAAUUAACCUCAACCCACAUUCCAUGUCCUACAACAACGAGAUAUUUACUUUGUCAAUGCAAUCAAACACAAAAUCGAACAAACUAAUGUGCAAAAAUAGAAAAUUGUACAUACAAUGACAGGGGCGCGACGAGUAGGCGGCGCUGGUCGCGGUGGCUAGGGUAAGCAGACGAGAGGGGCGGCGACGAGCAGGUGGCGCUUCUCGCCGUGGCUAGGGUUAGCAGACAAGAAGGGCGGCGCGACGUGGCAGGCGGUGCAGUAGCGGCGCCUAGGGAUAGCAGAUGACAGGGGUGGCAAAAUUAAGGCUUCCUUCCCUUUCAUGUUUCAGUUGAUUUCUUUGAUUGAGAGAGGUGAAUCGAGAGAGAGGGUCCGAGAAAGUAGAUGCGGCGCCAGAAUCGGAAGCAACAACUGCUCGUCGGCGGCGGCAUCAACCGCUGCAGUGAGGAUUCCGAUUUGGAAGAAAGUUAGGAUUUUCUCUUGCGUUUUCUUCACUAGUUUGAGAGAGACA
rnacentral:lncRNA from 1 species